UGACUCCUACGGGGGGCAGCAGUGGGGAAUAUUGCGCAAUGGGGGAAACCCUGAUGCAGCGACGCCGCGUGAGCGAUGAAGUAUUUCGGUAUGUAAAGCUCUAUCAGCAGGGAAGAAGAUGACGGUACCUGACUAAGAAGCCCCGGCUAACUACGUGCCAGCAGCCGCGGUAAUACGUAGGGGGCAAGCGUUAUCCGGAUUUACUGGGUGUAAAGGGAGCGUAGACGGCGAUGCAAGCCAGAUGUGAAAGCCCGGGGCUCAACCCAGGGACUGCAUUUGGAACUGUGUGGCUUG
rnacentral:rRNA from 1 species